GCCUCGCGUGAGUCUCGUUCCGGUCCGUCGCGGCGCUAGCGGUUUCUCUCGUUCGCGCGAGUGUGUCAACGCGUUCGCCCAAAGAAAGACCCCACCGUUCUCUCUCAGUGAAUCGCGACGAUCUCCACGGAUGCAGUGCCUCGUCGAGUUGUUGUGACGUUUCAUGGCGAGCGUCGCCGCGCCAGGAUCGCGUGGUGUUCCGUCGAUCGUCGAUCAGGAGCAUGCAGUAACGGCGCUGGAUACUAGUUAGGGAAAAGGGCGAAGAAACGUGGCGCAGACGAAAAAAAAAGAAUCAAGGAAGAGGAGGACGACGCGAGCAAACCAGAAAGGGGAAACGUUGGAAACCAAUGAGCGACGAAUUUCUGGCUACGUCUCGAGAGAGAAUUAUCGAGUAACAAGUUUCUUAAUUACCCUCAGCCGCCCCCGCGAGCCGGCGGAAUUGGGACACGCCAAUUUCGUCCGUAGUCCCGUGCACCAAACGGGGGUGGUGUCCCCCUAAACUAAUUAAUUCCUUUGGCGUGUCGCGUGAAUCGCAAGUUUUUGGUGGGGGGGCGAAAAAAAAAAAGACACGAAAAAGAUAAAAAGAGAAAAGAAACGAAGAGAAAAAAACACCAAGUUCGACCGGGAAUCGUUUAAUUAACAGCAGGGGGGCGGGGGGCGGGGGGAGGCGAACAGCCCACCAAAGCAACCGAGUUCAAGAUUACGUCGCUGCACGGACGAGCAAUUUCUGCGAUAACAAAGUUUCAAUCGUCUCCGCAGACGAUGGGAAUACCCGGGUAAAAGUUUAAAGGAAAGCACUGGCUUGGAAAAGCGAUUAUCGAUCGAACCAACGGGCGGGGGAGGGGGUCUAUUAAUUACUGGAAUUGCGAGGACCAGCUCGAGUGUACACAGAGCGAGAGAGAGAAGUAACUGUGAAAAAGAAAACCCUGUCCCGCGUUCCGAAGGAAGUACCACAGCAAACACGAACACGUGUACACUAGGGGAGGAGGAAGCUCGUGGAUAGAAAUCGACACCGAGAAACGGUCGGAGAAAGCAGACGUGAUCGAUAAAUGCGAGGACGAUGAGUCGUUGACAGUCCUCCGGCGAGCAGAUGCGUCUUGGAACGAACCUAACCUAAAAUUGCUCUGUCAUAUCUUGUUUCGAAACAAACAAAAGUGUAUUUUAGAGGUUGUUCGAAGGUCGUUGGUAUUGGAAGACGAACCUAACCUAAAAUUGCAGCAAAUUUUGUUUGAAAAAAAAACAAAAGUGUGCAAGAUAUUUCAGUCGAAAAUAUUCGAUGUGGAGAACCUAACCUAAAAUUGUUACUUCAAAUUUUGUUUUUGAAAUAAAUAAAAGUGUGCAAGAUAUUCGAUGUGAAGAUCGUAGUUAUUGGAAGAACCUAACCUAAAAUUGUUGCUUCAAAUUUUGUUUAAAAAAAUUAAAAGUAUAUAGAUGUGAAGAUCGUAAUUGUUGGAAGGAGAACCUAAGCUAAAAUUUAGUUCUAAAACAGAGAAAAAUGUGCAAGGUAUUUCAGUAGAAGAUAUUCGAAGACGCGUAUCGUGGGACCACGGAGAUAUCAGUGGAGUGUUGUGUGGUGUGUGUGUGUGAGAGUGCGUGCGUCGACGUAUUCGCAAGAGAAACACGGAGUGGGAAGAAAGGUGGCCGUAGGUGCGAGGAAAACUCGUCGAACGAAGUUAUUAGCGAACACCGUCGGGUUCUAGUGCCGGCGCGAAAGAGCGUUAAUUACCAAGCUCGUCGUCGGCCAGGAUAUAAUGGCGGUCCGUUGAAAGACGCGCGGUUAGAAGGUCACGAAGUUCGUUCACGAGACGGCCUGUUAUGACGUGACGAGAGGAAAACACUUUGGUGUACUUCCGUCGCGAGUAUUCCAGAAAGGAAAUCCACCAUGAGAGUGUCUGGAGUGGCUGCGCUGUUGAUCCUCUGUUGCGCCAUCGGUAAGUCCAGAGAAGCUCUUAUACAUAGACACAGGCUCGAUUUGUAAGUAACAUUUAAGAAAAAAAUCCACUUUAAACACCACCAAAAAGGGGGGGGGCAAUAUUCAGGAAUUUUUUAGACCACUUUAAAGACCAACAAAAAGGGGGGUUAAUAUUCAGGAAUUUUAAGACCACUUUAAAGAGCACCAAAAAGGGCGGUUAAUAUUCAGUAAUUUUAAGACCACUUUAAAGACCACCAAAAAGGGGGGUUAAUAUUCAGGAAUUUUAAGACCAUUUUAAAGAUAAUCAAAGAAAAAGUCAAUAUUCAGUAAUUUUAAGACCACUUUAAAGACCAUCAAAGAGAAGGUCACAAUAUUCAGGGAUUUUAAGGCCACUUUAAAGACCAUCAAAGAGAAGGUCAAAGUGUAUUCAGGAAUUGUAAAACCACUUUAAAAACCACCAAUAAAAGGUCACAACAUUCAGGAACUUGAAGACCACUUUAAAGACCAACUUAAAGACCACCAAAGAAAAGGUCACAAUAUUCAGGAACUUUAAGACCACUUCAAAGACCACCAAAGAAAAGAUCACUAUUCAGGAUUUUUAAACCACUUUAAAGACUACCAAAGAAAUGGUCAAUAUUCAGGAAUUUUAAGACCACCAAAGAAAAGGUCAAUAUUCAGGAAUUUUGAGACCACUUUUAAGACCAUCGAAGAACAGGCCACAAUAUUCAGGGAUUUUAAGGCCACUUUAAAGACCAUCAAAGAGAAGGUCAAUAUUCAGGAAUGUUAAGACCACUUUAAUGACCACCAAAGAAAAGGUCACUCUUCAGGAAUUUUAAGACCACUAUUAAGACCAUCAAAGAAAAGGUCAAUAUUCAGGAAUGUUAAGACCACUUUAAAGACCAACUUAAAGACCACCAAAGAAAAGGUCACAAUAUUCAGGAACUUUAAGACCACUUCAAAGACCACCAAAGAAAAGGUCACUAUUCAGGAAUUUUUAAACCACUUUAAAGACUACCAAAGAAAUGGUCAAUAUUCAGGAAUUUUAAGACCACCAAAGAAAAGGUCAAUAUUCAGGAAUUUUGAGACCACUUUUAAGACCAUCGAAGAACAGGCCACAAUAUUCAGGGAUUUUAAGGCCACUUUAAAGACCAUCAAAGAGAAGGUCAAUAUUCAGGAAUGUUAAGACCACUUUAAUGACCACCAAAGAAAAGGUCACUCUUCAGGAAUUUUAAGACCACUAUUAAGACCAUCAAAGAAAAGGUCAAUAUUCAGGAAUGUUAAGACCACUUUAAAGACCAACUUAAAGACCACCAAAGAAAAGGUCACAAUAUUCAGGAACUUUAAGACCACUUCAAAGACCACCAAAGAAAAGGUCACUAUUCAGGAUUUUUAAACCACUUUAAAGACUACCAAAGAAAUGGUCAAUAUUCAGGAAUUUUAAGACCACCAAAGAAAAGGUCAAUAUUCAGGAAUUUUGAGACCACUUUUAAGACCAUCGAAGAACAGGCCACAAUAUUCAGGGAUUUUAAGGCCACU